UUUAUUUUUUAUUUUUUAUUUUGGUCAAAGGUAAGUUUUAUUACCAACAAUAAAAAAUUACACAACAAAGGCCCAAAUAUAAGUAAGCACAAAGCAAAAGCGAACCUUCCAAGCUAAACAACAAGAGGCCAAACAAUGUUGAAGCCCAAAACUAGAAACAAAUUGAAAGAAAAAUCGUGAAUUCUGCUACCACCGUUGCUACAACACUACAUCUCGAUCAGUCACCAAUUGAAAGAAGCCAGUGGGAUUGCCACGAGUGACACUGAUAACAAACGCAAGCAGAGAGAAGGUGGUGGUGUGGACACCCGAGCCUGUGUGAAGACUGAAAUUCUUCAUACAUUUUGUCGGUAAAUGUCUUGGUAGAAGAUAUGAUUUCUUAAAAUUGAGGUUUAUUCAUUUUUAACUACGUACAUAACAAGAAAUUUUCUUACCUGUCUAAUUUCUAAUGAUUAACCGAAACAAAUUUCGGUGAAGGGUAAUUGCAGAUCGAUUUGAGAUGUGAUAAAUGAAGGACGGAGGCAAGUACGAGGGGUGGAGAAAUAAGUGUAUGACAAGACAAUGUCAGAAUUGUGGAUAAGGAACAUGGGGAUGGGAUAACAAGGGUUAGAAGAAAGAGAAGGUCAAACCUGAAGGCAUAGUCUAGUAAGAUCUACGGCUAUUAGGGUUGAAGAACAAGGUAGAUCGGAAGGGAAACCAUUCACACCACUGUGAGUUUAAAAACUCUCACAAAGAGAGAGAGUCUCUCACACGCAGAGAAGGUAGAUGCCUUUGAUUUUUAAGUAUUUGGUUUCUUUUACAUUUAUGUAUUGUUUUUAAAUUUUACGUAUUUUAGUAUAAAAUAGUAGUUUAAUUAACAAUACAUUGUAGUUGAAUGUGUAAGUAAUGUACUAUAGUAUUUCUU
rnacentral:lncRNA from 1 species